GAUGAACGCUGGCGGCGUGCCUAAUACAUGCAAGUAGAACGCUGAAGGAGGAGCUUGCUCUUCUGGAUGAGUUGCGAACGGGUGAGUAACGCGUAGGUAACCUGCCUGGUAGCGGGGGAUAACUAUUGGAAACGAUAGCUAAUACCGCAUGACAACAGUUAUUGCAUGAUAACUGUUUAAAAGGGGCAACUGCUCCACUACCAGAUGGACCUGCGUUGUAUUAGCUAGUUGGUGAGGUAACGGCUCACCAAGGCGACGAUACAUAGCCGACCGGAGAGGGUGAUCGGCCACACUGGGACUGAGACACGGCCCAGACUCCUACAGGAGGGAGCAGUAGGGAAUCUUCGGCAAUGGGCGGAAGUCUGACCGAGCAACGCCGCGUGAGGGAAGAAGGUUGUCGGAUCGUAAAGCUCGGUUGUAAGGGAAGAACGAGUGUGAGAGUGGAAAGUUCACACUGUGACGGUAUCUGACCAGAAAGGGACGGCUAACUACGUG
rnacentral:rRNA from 1 species